rnacentral:lncRNA from 1 species
CCGUAUUAUAUUCAAAUAAAUAAAAGAAUUAAAUUUUUAUUUAAAAACAAAAAAUUAUCUAUAAAUGCGAUAUAUAAUAUACUUUUUAAUAAAUUAGAUUUUGUGAGUAACUGUGAUAAAAAAAAUGAUAUAGAUUUGUUUAAGUGUUUUUUUAAAUAUUACUACGAUUUUUUUAAGUAUAGUAAUGUUAAGGCAAUAAAAAAUGAGCAACAUGCGAUAGCAGAAGCUCAAAAUGUAAACGUAAAAAAAAAAGGCGGCUACAAUGGUAGUAAUAUUAGUGAUACUAGAAGUAUCAGUAUUUGGGAGGAUUACAAUUUUAAACUUUUUAACCUUUUAACUAAUUUAAAACAUUUCCAAUUAAUUAAAAAGUAUAAAUAUUUUUUAAAAGAAAAAAAAAAAAAAAUUUAAUUUUUUUUUUUUUUUUUGGUGCUAGUAAUAAUCAUAGUAGUAGUAAUAAUAGUUCUUAUAGUAGCGAUGGUUAUAAUUUAUUAAACUACAUUUUGAAAAAGUCUUAUACAAUUUUUUUUUUAACAGAAUAUAUUAACACUUAUCUUAGGAAGCAUGUAAAAUUAACAAAACAUUACCGCAACAGUUGUAACAGUACUAAUAGUUACAUCCGCCUCAACGGCUUUAUACAUAAUAAGCACAUUGCGCUUAAUAAAAAACACCCUUUGUAUAAACAAACGAAUUACAAAAUAUGGAAAAAAAAACAUAAAAAUACGAAAAAAAAAUUAACACUUAUUCAAAAGAGUUUUUUAUUAAAAAAUAAAUAUCAAAAUAAUCCAUAUAAUAUAUACAAUUCAGAAAAGAGUAAUUAUAUUAAGUUUUAUUUUAGUAAACUAAAAUUACCUCAGACCUUUUUAAUAUAUGGUAAUAAUAGUGAAGAUAAAACUACUUUAAUGAAUUUUAUUAUUUAUAUAAUUUGUUCCAAUUAUGAUGAUAUAUCUUUCAAUUAUAAUGAUAUAUCUUUUAACAAACUCAUGGAAAAUGAUGUAAGAAACAUAUUUUUAAUGAACAAGCAAGAGAGUAGUGUGGGAAGGGAUCAUAGUACUGAACGAGGAGAUAACAGUAAACAUGUAAAUAACAUUGAAAAAGAUUCAAAUGAGGAAAACAUUAAAAAUGACUUUAA